AACGAACGCUGGCGGCGUGUCUUAAGCAUGCAAGUCGGGCGGCAAGGCGGGGCAACCCGCCCUAGAGCGGCGGACUGGUGAGUAACACGUGGGUGAUCUGCCCUUGGGUUGGGGAUAGCCACUAGAAAUAGUGGGUAAUACCGGAUACGUUCCCCCGAUCGCGGUCGGGGGAGGAAAGGCGCUACGGCGCCGCCCGAGGAUGAGCCCGGGCCCCAGUAGCUAGUUGGGGAGGUAACGGCCCACCAAGGCGAUGAUGGGUAGCCGGCCUGAGAGGGUGUACGGCCACACUGGGACUGAGAUACGGCCCAGACUCCUACGGGAGGCAGCAGCUAAGAAUAUUCCGCAAUGGACGAAAGUCUGACGGAGCGACGCCGCGUGGAUGACGAAGGCCGUGAGGUUGUAAAAUCCUUUUGCUGGGGAAGAAUAAGCGCGGGAGGGAAUGCCCGCGCGAUGACAUGAACCGGCGAAUAAGCCCCGGCCAACUACGUGCCAGCAGCCGCGGUAA
rnacentral:rRNA from 1 species